rnacentral:sRNA from 1 species
GCGCUGCACAGAGCCGAAGAAGGCGUCC